rnacentral:lncRNA from 1 species
GCCCUGGGGUACAUGUUUAUGUGAGUAAUAAAAUAUUUACUAUAACAUAAAUAUAAAGGGAACUUCCCAGUCUACAUUAUUAUUAUUAUUUUUGCAAUAAAGAUACAAAGAAUGCACCAAAACAUUGUUCCAAAAAAUAAUAAAAAUAAAAUAACAAAAUUUAAAUUCAAACUGUAACAAACAGAACGGAAGAAACGGAGAAGGGGGAAGCUCCAAACACAUCCAGAAAAUAAAUAGAGAUGGGUCAGAAAUCUGGAAAUCAUAUUAAAAUAUUUUUUUCCCUUCGGAUUAUUCGGUGUACAAAAUCCUUUCGGAUGGGGAUGGAGGGCAACCCGGAAAAACCAAAAAUAAAAACCAAGCACAAAAACGUUUCUUCUCCCCGCCAAGUGUGUACAUAUCUCACAUAUUUACAUGGUUCCCACCUCACCCCAAACUUGGGGAAUUUCUCUCCUGGCCGCCCCCCUGCAUCCCGCAUCCCAGGUCGGGCUGGAGAGGGAGCGAGUGAAGGCUGCCGGGAAUCAGGGCAGAAGGUUCGCAGGGAACGGCUUAUUUCUACAGCUGGUUAAAAAAUACCUCCAACUUUUUCAAGUUUUCGUUUGUCGGUGGCCAGGAGGGCAGUGCCCCGCGGGGAGCAGGGGUGGGAUGGGGGGGCCCUGCUGGGCCGCGGUCAGUCUGCAGUGGGGCAGAAGCCUCUUCCCGGGGGGUGUGCGUGGGGAGCGCAGACCCCUCCCGCGUGGCCGGGAACCGAAUCGCAGCUCGGAUAAAACGAAACGAAAAAUGAACACUCGAAUUUUUUUUUGUUAGUUUUUUUUUUUUUGUUUUUGUUUUGCUUUUUUUGGGGGGGGGGUGGAGCGAUGGUGGUGGUGGUGAUGGUGGUGGUGGGGUGUAAGGGCAGGGGGAGGUAAGGGGGAAAAAUAAAUUAGGCUAGAUUAAAGCUUUGGCUAUUUCCUGCUUUUAUACACAGACGCGGCUCUCGCGGCCUCCCCUCCGGGGCCCCGAUAAAUACAGUAUACAGCGAUUUAAAUUAAGGGCGCGGGCGGAGUUAGAAGGACCCCAGGAGCCGGGGAGAGGCUCCAUGAAUAAAUAAAAACCGUAAAAAAAAAACAAAAAGCAAAAACCAAAAAACCAACCAAAAACAACAAAACCAAGCCCGGAGGAAGGGUAAAAAGGGGGAUGGGGCGCAUCCUUGCGGGAGAGAAGAGGCGUGGAGCGGAUUAAGCGACAGUCCCUCACCCUCGACCCGCAGGCUGGGGAGAGGGGGCCCUCCUGUCUCCAUCCUCUCUCCCGGGGGGUCCCUAACCCCGUACCGCGUUACCUGUCGCUGCGGGGAGGCCGCUGCCGGGAUCCGGCCCCGAACAGCCCGGGGGUGGGAGGGGUGCAGGGGGAGGCGGGGGUCUCCGAGGGGAUGGGGGCGGGGAGCAGGCGGCGGGGUGAGUUGGCGCGUCCCGGAUCUUCGCUCCUCUCUCCCGGGGGCUCGGGCGACGCAGCCUGUCGGGCCGUCUUCGCCGCUCGCCGGAGAGGGUCGUCCGGGUGUUUGGUUUAGGUUCGAAAGUUUCUGGGCUUUUUUUUUUUUUUUUUUUUUUUUUUUGUAAAAUCCAAAGCAACCGAACAAAAAAAGAGAGAGAGAAAAAAAAA